rnacentral:rRNA from 1 species
UACAGAGGGGGCAAGCGUUGUUCGGAAUUACUGGGCGUAAAGAGCGCGCAGGCGGUCGAUCAAGUCGAGUGUGAAAGCCCCCGGCUCAACUGGGGAGGGUCAUUCGAUACUGAUCGACUCGAAGGCAGGAGAGGGUAGUGGAAUUCCCGGUGUAGUGGUGAAAUGCGUAGAGAUGUGGAGGAACACCAGUGGCGAAGGCGACUCUUUGGC